ACCUACAAGUCGAGCAGGGUCGAAAGACGGACUUAGUGAUCCGGUGGUUCCGCAUGGAAGGGCCAUCGCUCAACGGAUAAAAGCUACCCCGGGGAUAACAGGCUUAUCUCCCCCAAGAGUUCACAUCGACGGGGAGGUUUGGCACCUCGAUGUCGGCUCAUCGCAUCCUGGGGCUGUAGUCGGUCCCAAGGGUUGGGCUGUUCGCCCAUUAAAGCGGUACGCGAGCUGGGUUCAGAACGUCGUGAGACAGUUCGGUCCCUAUCCGUCGUGGGCGUAGGAAAUUUGAGAGGAGCUGUCCUUAGUACGAGAGGACCGGGAUGGACAUACCUCUGGUGUACCAGUUGUCGUGCCAACGGCAUAGCUGGGUAGCUAUGUGUGGACGGGAUAAGUGCUGAAAGCAUCUAAGCAUGAAGCCCCCCUCAAGAUGAGAUUUCCCAACUUCGGUUAUAAGAUCCCUCAAAGAUGAUGAGGUUAAUAGGUUCGAGGUG
rnacentral:rRNA from 1 species